rnacentral:misc_RNA from 1 species
UCGGUACUGCUGGGAACCACGUGAUGUCAGAGGAGCAAAUCCAACCAUAAAGAAGUGUAGACGGGGGAAGGGGAUGAGAUUCACUGCAAGUUUCCUGAGGUCAGAGUUAAGCUGACCAGGAAACCUAAGGCAACAGGUGACCCCACUCAUAGUUGCAGAGAUCAGAUGGUUCAGAUCUCCAAAGCUGGGAGUAGUUAACUUGAGAGUCCUGAAACAGAUGUCAUACAAGGCCUCAUUGUCCAGCACCAUGCACUCAUCAGCAUUCUCAACUAACUGAUGUACAGAAAGGGUGGCAUUGUAUGGCUCAACAACAGUAUCUGAAACCUUGGGUGAUGGGAACACGGAAAAAGUGAGCAUCAUCCUGUCAGGGUAUUCCUCUCUGAUCUUAGAAAUCAAGAGAGUUCCCAUUCCAGAACCAGUUCCACC